CAAGACGUAGCUAAACAAAAGCAUUCAGCUAACACCUGAAAGAUAUCUGUCAUCACCCGAUCGUCUUGA
rnacentral:tRNA from 1 species